UGGGGAAUCUUCCGCAAUGGGCGCAAGCCUGACGGAGCAACGCCGCGUGAGUGAAGAAGGUUUUCGGAUCGUAAAGCUCUGUUGAGAGGGACGAGAGAUAUAAUCAGGAAAUGGGUUAUAGAGGACGGUACCUUUCGAGGAAGCCACGGCUAACUCCGUGCCAGCAGCCGCGGUAAUACGGAGGGUGCAAGCGUUAAUCGGAAUAACUGGGCGUAAAGGGCAUGCAGGCGGUUCAUCAAGUAGGAUGUGAAAUCCCCGGGCUCAACCUGGGAACAGCAUACUAAACUGGUGGACUAGAGUAUUGCAGGGGAGACGGAAUUCCAGGUGUAGCGGUGGAAUGCGUAGAUAUCUGGAAGAACACCAAAGGCGAAGGCAGUCUCCUGGGCAAAUACUG
rnacentral:rRNA from 1 species